UGGUCUGUAACUGACGCUGAGGCGCGAAAGCGUGGGGAGCGAACAGGAUUAGAUACCCUGGUAGUCCACGCCGUAAACGAUGAGUGCUAAGUGUUAGAGGGUUUCCGCCCUUUAGUGCUGCAGCAAACGCAUUAAGCACUCCGCCUGGGGAGUACGGUCGCAAGACUGAAACUCAAAGGAAUUGACGGGGGCCCGCACAAGCGGUGGAGCAUGUGGUUUAAUUCGAAGCAACGCGAAGAACCUUACCAGGUCUUGACAUCCUCUGACACCCCUAGAGAUAGGGCUUCCCCUUCGGGGGCAGAGUGACAGGUGGUGCAUGGUUGUCGUCAGCUCGUGUCGUGAGAUGUUGGGUUAAGUCCCGCAACGAGCGCAACCCUUGAUCUUAGUUGCCAGCAUUCAGUUGGGCACUCUAAGGUGACUGCCGGUGACAAACCGGAGGAAGGUGGGGAUGACGUCAAAUCAUCAUGCCCCUUAUGACCUGGGCUACACACGUGCUAC
rnacentral:rRNA from 1 species